rnacentral:rRNA from 1 species
GACGAACGCUGGCGGCGUGCCUAACACAUGCAAGUCGAGCGAAGUGAGUACUACGGUACGAACUUAGCGGCGGACGGGUGAGUAACGCGUGGACAAUCUACCCUGUAGACUGGGAUAACACCUCGAAAGGGGUGCUAAUACCGGAUAAUGUCGAGAAGCGGCAUCGCUUUUCGAAGAAAGGAGAGAAUCCGCUAUAGGAGGAGUCCUCGUCCCAUUAGCUAGUUGGUGAGGGUAACGGCCCACCAAGGCGACGAUGGGUAGCCGGCCUGAGAGGGUGAACGGCCACACUGGAACUGAGACACGGUCCAGACUCCCACGGGAGGCAGCAGUGGGGAAUAUUGUGCAAUGGGGGAAACCCUGACACAGCAACGCCGCGUGAGCGAAGAAGGCCUUCGGGUUGUAAAGCUCAAUAGUAUGGGAAGAUAAUGACGGUACCAUACGAAAGCCCCGGCUAACUACGUGCCAGCCGCCGCAGUAAAAC